rnacentral:lncRNA from 1 species
UGAAGUGACUUUUGCAUCACAAAAGCGCAGUAUAACCACUAUGGUUAAGAAAGCCUAUCACGUUUAUUUUGUCUGCAAAAUUGGAGAUCAGGACAAGAGGAGGGCCCCACACAUAUGCUGCAACACUUGUGCAACAAAUCUGCGCCAGUGGUUGAACAGGAAAAGGAAAUCUAUGCCUUUUGCAGUGCCAAUGAUUUGGAGAGAGCCAUGGUGUCUCCAGUUGGGAAAGGUGUGUCAAAGAAGAAAAAGUGGACUGUGCAUUAUCCAAACAUUCCAUCAGCUAUACGCCCAGUGCCCCACGGAGAAGGACUGCCGGUUCUUGAUGCACCAGAAUCAUUCUCACUUGAGUCAGACGAGGAAGAGGAUGAAACUUCUGGUCCUGAACCAUCAAUGUCACAGGACCCACAUUUUCUCCCAUCCUCCUCCUCUGAACCACACCUCAUAACACAAGGUGAACUGAAUGCCCUUGUCAGGGAUUUGGAACUACCCAAGAGUAAGGCAGAGCUCUUGGGCUCCAGACUACAGCAGUGGAAUCUCCUGGCAGGUGAUGUUAGGGUUUCCAUGUUCCGUGACUGUCAAAAGGAUCUUGUCCCAUUCUUCUUCAUGGAAGGUGAUCUUGUAGCCUGCAACAACAUCGAUGGUGUGAUGGCAGCCCUCAACAUCAUUCACGAUCCAGAUGUGUGGAGACUGUUCAUUGAUUCAUCGAAGAUGAGUCUUAAAGCUGUUUUACUGCAUAAUGGCAAUGUUUUGCCAUCAAUUCCAGUUGGUCUUGCAGUCCAUAUGAAGGAAACCUAUGACAACAUGAAACAACUUUUGAGGUGCAUAAACUAUGACCAACAUCAGUGGCAGCUUUGUGGCAAUUUGAAGGUUGUUGCUCUCUUGCUUGGUCUGCAGACUGGAUACACAAAAUACUGCUGUUUUCUCUGCGAAUGGGAUAGUCAUGCAAGAGCUUCCCACUACAUCAAGAAAGAUUGGCCACUCCGACAGUCAUUGGAGCCUGGGAGGAAAAGUGUUCAGCAUCCACCACUUGUUGAAUCAAGGAAGAUUUUGUUACCACCCUUACACAUCAAGCUGGGUCUGAUGAAGAACUUUGUCAAGGCCAUUGACAAAACACAAGCAACUUUCAAGUACCUCCGUGGAAAAUUUCCAAGGUUAAGUGAAGCUAAGAUAAAGGAAGGUGUCUUUGCUGGUCCUCAGAUUCGUGAACUUCUUCGAGAUGAUGCAUUUGACCAUGCACUGCGUGGCAAGGAAAAGACGGCAUGGAAAGCCUUCCAGUUAGUGGCAAUAAAUUUUCUCGGAAACAACAAGGCAGACAACUACAGGUUGUUGGUGGAAAACCUCUUCAAGACAUACA